rnacentral:tRNA from 1 species
CUAGGAUCCUAACUUAGACUAUUGUUUG